rnacentral:rRNA from 1 species
UACGUAGGGGCCUAGCGUUGUCCGGAAUUAUUGGGCGUAAAGAGCUCGUAGGCGGUUCGGCAAGUCGGAUGUGAAAUCUCCACGCUUAACGUGGAGGGGCCAUUCGAAACUGCUGUGACUCGAGUCCGGUAGGGGAGUGUGGAAUUCCCGGUGUAGCGGUGAAAUGCGCAGAUAUCGGGAAGAACACCCGGUGGCGAAGGCGGCUCUCUGGGACGGUACUGACGCUGAGACGCGAAAGCGGUGGGGAGCGAACGAG